rnacentral:rRNA from 1 species
GACGAACGCUGGCGGCGUGCUUAACACAUGCAAGUCGAACGGUGACGACAGGGCUUGCCUUGUCUGAUCAGUGGCGAACGGGUGAGCAACACGUGAGUAACCUGCCCCAGACUCUGGGAUAACCCCGGGAACCCGGAGCUAAUACCGGAUACGACACGCACCUGCAGUGGGCGCGGGUGGAACGGUUUUAGGUCUGGGAUGGACUCGCGGCCUAUCAGCUUGUUGGUGAGGUAAUGGCGCGCCAAGGCGACGACGGGUAGCCGGCCUGAGAGGGGGACCGGCCACACUUGGACUGAGACACGGCCCAGACUCCUACGGGAGGCAGCAGUGGGGAAUAUUGCACAAUGGGCGCAAGCCUGAUGCAGCGACGCCGCGUGAGGGAUGACGGCCUUCGGGUUGUAAACCUCUUUCAGCGGGGACGAAGCGAAAGUGACGGUACCCGCAGAAGAAGCACCGGCUAACUACGUGCCAGCAGCCGCGGUAACAC